UACGUAGGCAGCGAGCGUUGUUCGGAGUUACUGGGCGUAAAGGGUGUGUAGGCGGCUUUUUAAGUUUGGUGUGAAAUCUCCCGGCUCAACCGGGAGGGUGCGCCGAAUACUGAGAGGCUAGAGUAUGGGAGAGGAAAGUGGAAUUCCUGGUGUAGCGGUGAAAUGCGUAGAUAUCAGGAGGAACACCGGUGGUGUAGACGGCUUUCUGGACCAUUACUGACGCUGAGACACGAAAGCGUGGGUAG
rnacentral:rRNA from 1 species